rnacentral:rRNA from 1 species
UACGUAGGGUGCGAGCGUUGCCCGGAUUUAUUGGGCGUAAAGGGUGCGUAGGCGGCCUAUUAAGUCAGUGCUGAAAUAUCCCGGCUUAACCGGGAGGGUGGCAUUGAUACUGAUGGGCUUGAGUAAAGUUGAGGUAGGCGGAAUUGACGGUGUAGCGGUGAAAUGCUUAGAUAUCGUCAAGAACACCUAUUGCGAAGGCAGCUUACUAAGCUUUAACUGACGCUGAUGCACGAAAGUGUGGGGAUCAAACAGG